AUGAACGUCCACCACUUGGUCAACGCAAGCAUGAUGGAGCUCCAGCCGACCUAGUGAUCCCGCCUCGCCCUGGUCCUAUCGCUUCAGCGUUGCCCUGGUUGGUGACCAUACCCAGCUGACGCCGCUUGACAAGUACUUGAGCAGCCAUGCCUUCAUGGCCGUCUCUCCCUGAGACUCUGAUGCGGGGAUGGCAUGGCCGCCGCCGGCGUCUAUCCCAGUGAAGAAUUAGGGUUCUAAAAAUAAUUAAUCAUGUCAAGUUGAAACGUUAUUAUGUAGCAGCCGUACUGACAUGAUAAAUUAAUUGCAUCUAGAUUACAUUUUUACCCCUAAGAUCGGGGUACUCCCUAGCUUUUUCAGUUGGUACUCUCUUGUACACUUGUUGGAGUACCGAUUAAGAUCAUCCAUCGGAUUAACAGAAAUGGAGGGCUCAUAAUCAUUUAGGGGUACUGUAAAGGAGAACUGCAGAAAAUUGGUAACACUGCACUCUGUUAGGAUCAUGAGAUAUUGGCUGCAUGUAUUAUUUAUCAAUACUACCCCAUUUUCUUCCUACCGUAUUUGUAUGUAUCUCAUGCUCUUACUAAUGUUUUAGCCUUCUAUAUUUUGUUUUGGAGUGAGCUCAGGACAAUGGCUAUGAGGAGGAUGGAGGCACAACUUCUACUUAUUUAUUGUCACAAAAAGAAACACAUUAUGCAGGAGAGGAUUAAUGAAACUGACGUGUUUUAUGGUCCGUGAUGUUCACCUCUUCUGUUGCGGGGGAAGCUAGAAAUGCUAGAGAGGCAGUGAUGCAGAAGAGCUCACAGUGGGUUUCAAUACUUACCCAACUCCGCUAUGCACUGAUGGUUACUCAAUGAUUGAUCGUCGGAUGGUACUCUGUCUUCUAUUCUGAUUGUUCCUGAUUAGUAAAAUGGAGCUCGUAAAGAACCAUGGAGGUUUGUGUUAAGUGACUGCCAGAUCUCUUGCUGUUCAUCGAUUGCUCUUCCUGGUCCUCCCUCUUCGCUGCGCCUUUCAUCACCGCCAAGCUCCUAGAGUGCUUGUGUGUAAAACUGACGACUUUGGCUGUGAUGGUCUUGGACGAACUUGUCAAGCAAGGUUCAUCUGGCUCUGCUUCAUCCACCAACAAAAAAUUGUCUCCUCCUACAAAGGUUGACCAUACCACUUUGACAAUUUCUGCAAGAAUGAUUCUUGAUAUUAUGUUGGAGUAUCUUGGGAUUCCUAAAGCUAUUUAUCAGAGAAGGAUCUACUCGCAGAACACAAUAUCUGUCACUAUACUUUUCUAUACCUCUACUCACAGCGCUGGUGCUUCUCCAUCACAAAUGAUUAUUACAGGGGUUCGAUCUGCCAACGAAGAGAUAGCAGAGGAUCCCGCUGCGGUGGAGGCUUUAGAUACAUGGAACGCGCUACAGGUGUUGUUGUGAAGGACCUAAGUUAUGGACGACUAGAGAAAAUGCAACAAGAGAAUGGUUUUCUAAAGCUUCAACUUGAUGAAGCUGUUGACAUGAUCAACAAGCUAGUCAGGCUUUGUAUGCUUGCUGUUAGAUACAUGCCCUCCUUCUCAAACCAGCUCCAGAAUGUCAUGGAAAUUGGCUUUCCUCCCACACGUCUUGGAAAUUGGCAUUUCUACACACUUCCAACCAGAGCCCUCUAGGGUUUCCUUUCGCCGCCAUGCGCGGCUGCGAGCGAUGCAGGCUGUACGAGAAGCAUCUCCUGGAGGUACACGGUCACACAAAGACCACGACCUCGGCAGCCACCUCGGCGAAACUCGGCCGCCACCAGAUCCGCAAGAAACGAACACACCGACGCCAGCAACAUGCUCCGGUCGCACUCAACGACGCCGUCAACCAUAAGACUGAAGAGAAUGAGCCGCAAGAGUACAUCAUCCGCGGAAUGCAGCAGGAACACCUGGUGGCAUCCAGUACUUUGGUGAGCUUGAAGACCACUGAUACUGGGGUAAUAAGGUGAAGCUCUAUGAACACCACGUAGAUGCUCUCUUUGCUAUGUUCUGGCACAAAGAGCCAGACAUCAAGUACUACGUGUGCACAAUCAACAGAACAUUUGCUAAGCCAGGCCAGCGCAUGUAUUUUCAGGUACACUAUACUGAAGAGAACCUGCUGGACUGCAUUGAUCCAAAUAAUGAUACACUCAUGGUCAGACUUGCAAAUGUCGUCUACUUGCCUAAUGUCGCAUCAUGCUAGGAACUGACAAGAGGGCCACUGUAACCACCAACUGUCUGAGUUUUUCAUUUUAGAAUCACUUCAAAGCGCUGCCUGGUUCUCACUGUGCACCGCCUCUAUAUGCACCAUCAAAGACACCGCAACCCCUGUGUCAAUAUAAUGUAGUAGUAAGUACUCAUAAUUAUGCUCUAUCCCGUGAUGAAUCUGUGGUUUGCUUUUGGGCCCUCUUAUCGCAUGCUUUUGAAUAUACUAAACCUAUGCCGUUGCUUAUGUAAAAUGAACU